UGAUUUUAGGUGCUUGCACUUGAAAGAUUUAACAUUGAGACGAGUGGCGAACUGGUGAGUAACACGUGGGUAACCUGCCCUUGAAGUAGGGGAUAACACUUGGAAACAGGUGCUAAUACCGUAUAACAACCAAAACCACCUGGUUUUGGUUUAAAAGACGGCUUCGGCUGUCACUUUAGGAUGGACCCGCGGCGUAUUAGCUUGUUGGUAAGGUAACGGCCUACCAAGGCGAUGAUACGUAGCCGACCUGAGAGGGUAAUCGGCCACAUUGGGACUGAGACACGGCCCAAACUCCUACGGGAGGCAGCAGUAGGGAAUCUUCCACAAUGGACGAAAGUCUGAUGGAGCAACGCCGCCUGAGUGAUGAAGGGUUUCGGCUCGUAAAACUCUGUUGUUGGAGAAGAACAGGUGUCAGAGUAACUGUUGACAUCUUGACGGUAUCCAACCAGAAAGCCACGGCUAACUACGUGCCAGCAGCCGCGGUAAUACGUAGGUGGCAAGCGUUGUCCGGAUUUAUUGGGCGUAAAGCGAGCGCAGGCGGUUUUUUAGGUCUGAUGUGAAAGCCUUCGGCUUAACCGGAGA
rnacentral:rRNA from 1 species